rnacentral:lncRNA from 10 species
CUGCCACCUGCAUCUUUGGCUUUCUUAUCAGAAGCAGCAAAGGGAGUCAGAACAGAUUAUUCCAAUGUUUGAAAGACAGGUGGUUCCUGUAAGUUUUAUGCAAGGUGUUUCCUGAAUGUGUGCAUAGCCAAGCUGCUCCUGGAACUAUUCUGUGUUUACUUAGAUUUUGUGUUUGCCUAUUUGACAUAUAUUAAGUACAGGGACAAACUAAAGGCUAAAGUUGUUUACAUCAUCCUUUUAAGCCCUCUCUCGUGGGUGCACAAAACUCAUAUCACAGACUUCCCAGUGACAACCAUAGAAUGUCUGUUUUUGCUUUAUGCCCAACAGGGGACAUCCCCACCUAGAUCCAUCCCACUGACUUAGCAAUAAAGGCAUAGUCUCAGGUCCUCUCUCUGCUUUGUGGUCUCUGCUUGUGACAGAGUUUCACGUGGCCCCCUGUGGCAUGCCAUGACCCUCAUUUCUGGGGAGAAUUGUAACAUUAAACUUUCUUUUCAAUGGCA